rnacentral:rRNA from 1 species
UGGGGCAUGAAGGGGGCUUUACUGGUUUUGGAUGGGCUCACGGCCUAUCAGCUUGUUGGUGGGGUAAUGGCCUACCAAGGCGACGACGGGUAGCCGGCCUGAGAGGGUGACCGGCCACACUGGGACUGAGACACGGCCCAGACUCCUACGGGAGGCAGCAGUGGGGAAUAUUGCACAAUGGGCGCAAGCCUGAUGCA